ACGUGCGGAAGGAUCA
rnacentral:rRNA from 1 species